UUUUCUGCUGGCUCUCCGGACUCAGCUACCCCAACUUCAGGGGUUAACCACACUAAGCGCGAGCUACUGCGCGUGGAGAGGGCGAGUCCACUUCCUGCUUGUAAAUAAAAACAUUGAAAACGCCA